rnacentral:sRNA from 1 species
GCCAGGCAGUGUGAUCCUGUAACCACCGGGAGGCUGAGGCAGGAGGAUCACUUGAGCCCAGGAAUUCAAAACCAGACUGGGCAACACAGUGAGAUCCUGUUUCAA